AACGAACGCUGGCGGCAGGCUUAACACAUGCAAGUCGAACGCCCCGCAAGGGGAGUGGCAGACGGGUGAGUAACGCGUGGGAACAUACCCUUUUCUACGGAAUAGCUCUGGGAAACUGGAAUUAAUACCGUAUACGCCCUACGGGGGAAGGAUUUAUCGGGGAAGGAUUGGCCCGCGUUGGAUUAGCUAGUUGGUGGGGUAAAGGCCUACCAAGGCGACGAUCCAUAGCUGGUCUGAGAGGAUGAUCAGCCACAUUGGGACUGGGACACGGCCCAAACUCCUACGGGAGGCAGCAGUGGGGAAUAUUGGACAAUGGGCGCAAGCCUGAUCCAGCCAUGCCGCGUGAGUGAUGAAGGCCUUAGGGUUGUAAAGCUCUUUCACCGAUGAAGAUAAUGACGGUAGUCGGAGAAGAAGCCCCGGCUAACUUCGUG
rnacentral:rRNA from 1 species